rnacentral:rRNA from 2 species
GUCGAGCGAAUGGAUUGAGAGCUUGCUCUCAAGAAGUUAGCGGCGGACGGGUGAGUAACACGUGGGUAACCUGCCCAUAAGACUGGGAUAACUCCGGGAAACCGGGGCUAAUACCGGAUAAUAUUUUGAACCGCAUGGUUCGAAAUUGAAAGGCGGCUUCGGCUGUCACUUAUGGAUGGACCCGCGUCGCAUUAGCUAGUUGGUGAGGUAACGGCUCACCAAGGCAACGAUGCGUAGCCGACCUGAGAGGGUGAUCGGCCACACUGGGACUGAGACACGGCCCAGACUCCUACGGGAGGCAGCAGUAGGGAAUCUUCCGCAAUGGACGAAAGUCUGACGGAGCAACGCCGCGUGAGUGAUGAAGGCUUUCGGGUCGUAAAACUCUGUUGUUAGGGAAGAACAAGUGCUAGUUGAAUAAGCUGGCACCUUGACGGUACCUAACCAGAAAGCCACGGCUAACUACGUGCCAGCAGCCGCGGUAAUACGUAGGUGGCAAGCGUUAUCCGG